GAUGAAGAACGCAGCGAAAUGCGAUAAGUAAUGUGAAUUGCAGAAUUCAGUGAAUCAUCGAAUCUUUGAACGCACAUUGCGCCCGUCAGUAUUCUGGCGGGCAUGCCUGUUCGAGCGUCAUUACGCCCCUCAAGUCCCCUGUGGACUUGGUGUUGGGGAUCGGCGAGGCUGGUUUUCCAGCACAGCCGUCCCUUAAAUUAAUUGGCGGUCUCGCCGUGGCCCUCCUCUGCGCAGUAGUAAAACACUCGCAACAGGAGCCCGGCGCGGUCCACUGCCGUAAAACCCCCCAACUUUUUAUAGUUGACCUUGAAUCAGGUAGGACUACCCGCUGAACUUAAGCAUAUCAAUAAGCGGAGGA
rnacentral:misc_RNA from 1 species